GGUGAGAUGGCCGAGCGGUUAAGGCGCCAGAGUUAGGUUCUGGUGAAGAAAUUCGCCUGGGUUCGAAUCCCAGUCUCAUCA